AAUCCAGAGACGGAUUGCUGAGAUGAUUCCUGCUUUCCGGCUCCCCGACACCCGCUGUUCUUUAGAUCCGCUCAGCGGCGCUUUUUCCUGUGCCACGUGCCCAGAUCUGAGCGAGGCUUGGGAAGACGCGAACGGGCUGUAAAAUCUGUCCCCAGAACUGGAGAGUAAGAAUGAGCGGUGUGGGGCUGAGCUGAGUCCAGGGAGUGCGAGAAUUUAGCAGUCGUGCUGUGCCUGGGCAUUUCAGACUGUGCCACAGCCGGGCCUGCCUGUUCCGCAAUGUGGCUGAGGAAGGGAGCCAAAAACGCUGCUGCAGGGCUGGCUGUGGGCAGUGGCAGGAAGCAAACAGAGGCUCUCUGGCGACUUCUCUCCCCUGGAGGCCCUCCUCCCUCUACUUCUAGCCCCACUGCUGUGGGACAGUUGCAUCCUGGGGCUUUCUGUGGCUCUCCCAUCAGUGCCCUGGGGCUGGCAUAUGCGACACCUCCUCUGCCUAGGGCAUUCAGGCAUUCUUCAGUACUUGGUGAGCACCUCCUAGUGCCAAGCUCUGUCCUGGUCACAGGAGAGCACUCCUAUCCAUGUGUUGUCCCUGUCCUCACUGCGCUUUGGGCCGGAGAGGAGCUCACUGUCUGAUCCUUUUCCCCGACUGUGGCUUAAGGGGUUUCGUCUCUUGCUAGAGCCCUUCUAGGCAGGCAGCAGGUCCUGGUUUGUGAGCAAGGGGCUCCUCCUCCAUUUUGGAGCCUCGGCUGCCCUGCCUCCCCGGUAAUCUGGUAUUCUGGUAGUGCCUCUCUGGGCCCUGGUUUAAAAGGCCGAGAGAAGCUGUAUUCUGGAGAUCAGCUCCAGGUUCUCCCGCAGAGAGCAAGCUCCAGGCACAGGCAAAGGGUGUGGCUUCAGAGAAGAGCGAGGAUCUUGCCAUCUCUUUUACAGAUCCGUGGAAGGCAGAGAGAAUUUGGGAACCUCUGUGCUAUAAGCAUGGAAAAUUGGGACUCAGGUAAAAAGGCUGGUUCCUGGUCGCACAGCUGGUCAUGGGUGAGUGUGGUUUUUGAACUCUGAUAUUUGGAUUCUGAGUACAGAACAUGUUAUAUUGUGGCCCAUGCCCUCCUCCUGAGUUCUUCAGUUUUAAUCAUUUCAUUUUCUACUCUUUUUAGGCACUUUGGCAAAGGAGUGUGAGUUUUGGGGAAGCUCAAGGAAGAGGUACCAGGUAGAGAGAGGGCCAGGGCUGAGUUCACGGGCUCUUUCUAAAUGGAAAUGUCUCACAUUCAGCUGUUGUCUGCCUUUGAGUCACACAGAACCACUUGCAGGAAGAACUCUAGAGAAUUUGGGAAGAAAGGGGGAGAGGACAGACAAAAGAUGCAUUUUUCUUUCAAGA
rnacentral:lncRNA from 1 species